rnacentral:tRNA from 1 species
GCCGAGGUGGUGGAAUUGGUAGACACGCAAGACUUAAAAUCUUGUUUCAUUUAUGAAGUGCGGGUUCAAGUCCCGCCUUCGGCACCA